UAUGAUUUGUAUGGAUUUGGAAAGUUCGCAGGGCUUUUUGAGGCAAAAUGUGCAUAGUUAGAAUUAGUCAUAGCUGAUUAGUUUUAGUUCAUUUGGGAGAUUCUUCCUUAGAUUGUAAAGCGAAGUAUUUUCAGUAAGAUCUGGGUCAAAAAUGGGUAGAUUGAUACUGUUAUCUAACUUAUCUUUAAUACAUUUUUGUUAUUGUACAUGAGAAAGCAAAAAUUAAUGUGUCUACCUUUGAAAUUUCAACUGCUGUUCUUAGACUAAAGAAGCUGUCUUUCAUUAGUCUUAAUUUGAUUUUUACUUAUUCUGACC
rnacentral:lncRNA from 1 species